rnacentral:rRNA from 1 species
UAGGGAAUCUUCGGCAAUGGACGAAAGUCUGACCGAGCAACGCCGCGUGAGUGAAGAAGGUUUUCGGAUCGUAAAACUCUGUUGUUAGAGAAGAACAAGGACGUUAGUAACUGAACGUCCCCUGACGGUAUCUAACCAGAAAGCCACGGCUAACUACGUGCCAGCAGCCGCGGUAAUACGUGGGUGGCAAGCGUUGUCCGGAUUUAUUGGGCGUAAAGCGAGCGCAGGCGGUUUCUUAAGUCUGAUGUGAAAGCCCCCGGCUCAACCGGGGAGGGUCAGUGGAAACUGGGAGAGUUGAGUGCAGAAGAGGAGAGUGGAAUUCCAUGUGUAGCAGUAAAAUGCGUAGAUAUAUGGAGGAACACCAGUGGCGAGGGCGGCUCUCUGGUCUGUAACUGACGCUGAGGCUCGAAAGCGUGGGGAGCAAAGAGG